rnacentral:lncRNA from 1 species
CUCUCUUUGGAAGUUGAAGAACACGAACCGACCCAAGAAAAGGGAGAGGCCUGUGCUUAGGCUUAUCACCACUGGGGCGCUUAGCUCAGCCUUCACACCACCAACCUUUCUACCACAAGACAAGGGGGCGAGCUUGGAGGAGGGGGCCUUGCGCAGGGGCCUGAGGCCUUGGAACGAUGGAGUGGCGAUGUUGUGGCGGCUGCCAUGUUUGUUUUGGAGGGUGGUGGUGAAGAUGGGGGUUAACAAAGCUGAGGCUGAUGCCAUGGCUGCCUGAGUGUGUGGUUGAUUAAUUGAGAUUCAGAGAAAAU